rnacentral:sRNA from 1 species
UAUCAAUCGGAUUUACAUGCUCAGCCGCCAAAAACUAUAACGAUAUUAUUACCGUACAAGCCGUUAGCAAGACAUGAUAGGGAGUUGGCAAGUUAAA